UACGUAGGGUGCGAGCGUUGUCCGGAAUUAUUGGGCGUAAAGAGCUCGUAGGCGGUCUGUCGCGUCUGCUGUGAAAACCCGAGGCUCAACCUCGGGCCUGCAGUGGGUACGGGCAGACUAGAGUGCGGUAGGGGAGAAUGGAAUUCCUGGUGUAGCGGUGGAAUGCGCAGAUAUCAGGAGGAACACCGAUGGCGAAGGCAGUUCUCUGGGCCGUAACUGACGCUGAGGAGCGAAAGCGUGGGGAGCGAACAGGAUUAGAUACCCUGGUAGUCCACGCCGUAAACGUUGGGCGCUAGAUGUGGGGACCAUUCCACGGUUUCCGUGUCGCAGCUAACGCAUUAAGCGCCCCGCCUGGGGAGUACGGCCGCAAGGCUAAA
rnacentral:rRNA from 1 species